rnacentral:rRNA from 1 species
AUACGUAGGGGGCGAGCGUUGUCCGGAAUUACUGGGUGUAAAGGGCGUGUAGGCGGGGAUACAAGUUACCGGUAAAAACCCGAGGCUCAACCACGGGCUUGCCGAUAAAACUGUAUCUCUUGAGUGUAGGAGAGGGAAGUGGAAUUCCCGGAGUAGCGGUGAAAUGCGUAGAUACCGGGAGGAACACCAGUGGCGAAGGCGGCUUCCUGGCCUAUCACUGACGCUGAGGCGCGAAAGCUAGGGGAGCGAACGGGAUUAGAUACCCCGGUAGUCCUAGCCGUAAACGAUGGUCACUAGGUGUGGGUGGUGGUCAAGCCAUCCGUGCCGGAGCUAACGCAAUAAGUGACCCACCUGGGGAGUACGGCCGCAAGGUUGAA